GUAGGGAAUAUUGGACAAUGGGCGAAAGCCUGAUCCAGCCAUGCCGCGUGUGUGAAGAAGGUCUUCGGAUUGUAAAGCACUUUAAGUUGGGAGGAAGGGCAGUAAGUUAAUACCUUGCUGUUUUGACGUUACCGACAGAAUAAGCACCGGCUAACUUCGUGCCAGCAGCCGCGGUAAUACGAAGGGUGCAAGCGUUAAUCGGAAUUACUGGGCGUAAAGCGCGCGUAGGUGGUUCAGUAAGUUGGAGGUGAAAUCCCCGGGCUCAACCUGGGAACUGCCUCCAAAACUGCAUUACUAGAGUACGGUAGAGGGUAGUGGAAUUUCCUGUGUAGCGGUGAAAUGCGUAGAUAUAGGAAGGAACACCAGUGGCGAAGGCGACUACCUGGACUGAUACUGACACUGAGGUGCGAAAGCGUGGGGAGCAAACAGGAUUAGAUACCCCGGUAGUCC
rnacentral:rRNA from 1 species